rnacentral:rRNA from 1 species
AUGUGAGGGGCAUGUGAGGGCUGUCGCUGACUCAAAGUCGUGCACGCCCGAGUGUGUCCUCUCACAUAAUAAUCCAUCUCACCCUUUGUGCAUCGCCGCGUGGGCACCCUUUGGGAUCAUCUCGGAGGGGGCUCGCGUUUUCACACAAACCCCCCUUUUAAAAGUGUAGAAUGACCUCAUUUAUGCGCUAACACGCAAUCAAUACAACUUUCAACAACGGAUCUCUUGGCUCUCGCAUCGAUGAAGAACGCAGCGAAAUGCGAUACGUAAUGUGAAUUGCAGAAUUCAGUGAAUCAUCGAAUCUUUGAACGCACCUUGCGCCCCUUGGUAUUCCGAGGGGCACACCCGUUUGAGUGUCGUGAAAACCUCAACCUCCUUGGUUUCUUCUGGAGACCAAAGGCAGGCUUGGACUUUGGAGGCCUUUGCUGGAACCUCUCUCUUUUGAAGGCCAGCUCCUCUUAAACGAAUUAGCAGGGUCCUCUUUGCCGAUCCUCGACGUGUGAUAAGAUGUUUCCAUGUCUUGGUUUCUGGCUCUGUCACUUUUGGGACCCGCUUCUAACCGUCUUGACCUUGCAUCGAGACAAUGUUCGAGCAUGUCUCCCUUCUCGGGAAGCUCCCUCGACCCCACGAACCCUUGACCUCAAAUCGGGUGAGACUACCCGCUGAACUUAAGCAUAUCAAUAA